GAGAGAGCGGAGGAGGCGCAGGCGCAGCACAGGUGGCAAUUGAAGCCGGAAGAACAUCUACCAAGAGCAGAGAACCCAGGAAGAAAAUUCUGCCUCUUUAAUACGUUCCAAUAUGGACGUUUUCCAUAUAGAUACCUAUCUAUAUAGAUAGAUGCUCUGGGAUCUGACGGUCCUGGACACCUGUAUGGCUGUGUGCUGUGGUCUUUGCCUAGCCUGCGGUUCACUUUUGCUCUGGCCACCACCUCCCCUCAUGUACAAACCGCGUCUCUGCUCUGCCAGUCUUGGCCCCCGUCAGGCAGCGGUUCACUCCCUCACCAGGGAAGUCUAGAUAGAUAGAUAUAGAUAGAUAUCGAUCGAUAGAUAUAGAUAUAUAUAUAGAUAGAUAGAUAGGUAGAUAUAUGGAUAGAUAUAGAUAUUUGGAUAGAUAUGUAGACGUCUAUCUAUAAAUAUAUCGAUAUAUCGGGGUUCUCAGCCAUCCCAAAGAAGCUUGCACAGGGCCAGUUGCUUUAUGUCAGGAAAAGGGACACAGACUGAGUGUAUGAGGGUUUUUUUUUUCUAUAGAUGUAUAGAUAUUUAUAUCAGAUGCAAAUAAGUGAAACUCUCAUACAACUUUUAAUUUUGUGUUUUUUCCAAACUCUAUUCCAUUCAACUUUUUCUGCCUUUUUAUUUGAUUAUAAUGAGACAUCGUACUGGAGGCAGGCUUGAAAUGGAUAUACAGAGCACUUUCAACCCAGAAAUUUGUCUCACGACUUGGGGUCCUUACUUAAGUUGUAGCUGUUAGUAAUUUCAUCCAUGAAUUCACUUUGUGCCAUAGUGUGAUGUUUUGUUAUGAAGUUGGAAUUGGGAAGGGAAACUAGGAAGUUUUGGGAGAAGUUAAGAAGGUUGAGUAGGCAGGCGUUGUUAUAGAUAUUAAAUUUCACCCUGCUUAUCAAAGUACCUGGAGCGUAUGGUAUCCAAGCUGUAAAUGGCCCAAAGGAAUCGGGGUUCUCAGCCAUCCAAAAGAAGCAUGCACAGGGCCAGUUAUUUUAUGUCAGGAAAGGGGACACAGACUGAGUGUAUGAGGGUUUUUUUUUUUGUUUUUUUUUUUUAGUUUAAACUUGAUUUUGUGAGGGGACGAACAGCGUGACAAUUAAAAGAAGAUCUGGGAAUCAAAAGCUUCCUGAGGCCUUCACCAGAAGCAGAUGCUGGUGCCGUGCUUCUACAGCCUGCAGAACUGAAGGACUUUACAGCUUCUCUUUCGCAUAUCCAAAUUGCCAGCAUCACCGCUCUUGCACUCCAAGCCAUUAUUAAGUAAAGUAAAGAACACAAACACUGUGAUACUGCUACACUUGAUCUGAUAACCAAGAAGUCUACUAAGUGACUAACAGCAGAGCAACUGGGAACCUAAUUCUGACCAAAAAGGAGGAAUUGUUUGGCUAAUUGGAAGUGACAGAAACCUUGGGAGAAAGCAACCGCAUACCAAGGAUAAUUAUAAGAAGAAGAGAAGACAUGGAGAAGAGGAGGGAGUAGUUGUGACCGUGGAGGCAGAGAAUGGAGUAAUGUGAUCAUAAAUCAAGGAAUGCUGACAGCCACUAAAGCUGGAGAAGGCCAAGGACAGAUAUUCAAUCCUCCCGUAGAAGUACAGCCCUGCUAAUGCAUUGAUUUUGGACUUCUGGCCUCAGAACUGUAAGAGAAUAAAUUUCUAUUGUUUUAAGCCUUCA
rnacentral:lncRNA from 1 species